rnacentral:misc_RNA from 1 species
AGAAGAGACUUCGUGCAAGGGGGACUGAGGCAGAGGAGCAGAUUCUUAAGCGACUUCAAAAUGCAGAGGCAGAGAUGGUACAAGGAAAGUCAUCAGGCAUCUUUGAUCACAUUUGUUAUAACGAUAAACUUGAGGAUUCUUAUGAGAACCUCAAGAAACUCUUGGGGCUGGAUGGAACUGCAGUAGCUACCCAGAAGUUAUCACCCCAAGGGAUUAAUCUGCCUGUGGACCAUUCAGUAUCAAGGAUUGAUAAUAAGAUCAUCAUAAAUUGUGGAGCACCAGAACUAGAGAAGGCAUCAAAGAGCUUGAUUGUCUUGGAUGUAUCCUCACUCAAGGGAGGGGC